UACGUAGGGCGCAAGCGUUAUCCGGAAUUAUUGGGCGUAAAGAGCUCGUAGGCGGUUUGUCGCGUCUGCCGUGAAAGUCCGGGGCUCAACUCCGGAUCUGCGGUGGGUACGGGCAGACUAGAGUGAUGUAGGGGAGACUGGAAUUCCUGGUGUAGCGGUGGAAUGCGCAGAUAUCAGGAGGAACACCGGUGGCGAAGGCGGGUCUCUGGGCCGAUACUGACGCUGAGGAGCGAAAGCAUGGGUAGCGAACAGG
rnacentral:rRNA from 1 species